UUGCGUUUGCCGCGGAAUUUACCCGGCGCGAGAUACGGCGCGUCGGUCUCCACCAUGAUCCGAUCUGCCGGUAGUUCGGCCGCAAUGUCGCGGAUCGCCUGCGAGUUUUUGAACGUCAGGAUUCCGGUGAAGGAAAUCGACAGCCCAAGCCCGAUGGCUUUCAUCGCGAGUUCGCGACCGCCGGUGUAACAAUGCAGCACAGCCUUGAACGGCCCUUUC
rnacentral:misc_RNA from 1 species